AAAGAGCUACGAAUAUGGGACUUAAUUUGUUAGAGCUCAGAAACUACUUAAGACUUGCUUAUGGAUAGGUGUUGGAUAGGUGACAAUCUGUGUAACAGACGUCAUAGGCUGAUUAUUUACAAUAUAGACUUCACAGAGCAGAAUGCCACACCUCUUAAUUGUGAUGUACUUCCAUGCUCCCUCAUCGGACGUUUAAUAAACCCCACUGAAGAGCAUGAUGAAGGAUGGUAAAAUAACCCCCCCAACGCAGACACUCUGGGGAGGAUUUAAUUGAGCAGUGUAUUGGCAAACAGCUAUACAUGAUUUAGUAUAACUUUCAAGUAAAUUAUUCGUAAUGCUAAUUUAAAAUAUCGACUGAAGGUUGCUUACAUCAUUUUACAAGGUUCAACUGAAAAUUCAUGAGCAAUCUAAAUUCUGUCAACAUCCAUCCCUUGCUUUUCUUUCAAAGUGACACCCAAACCCCCGGUUGAGGAAAAGCCAACAAAGCCAGCUCCAGAAGAGAGUGGCGCUCCUCCUCAAGAACCAACUGGACCGAAGGACAAGACACCCCCACCUCCAACCUCCAGCAACAAGGAGCCAGAACCAUCACCCCCAACUCCAGGCCCAGAAGACUGUACUCCAGGAUGGUCUGAUUGGUACGAUGAGCAAUAUCCUGAUGAAGAAAAUGGCGGAGAUGAGGAAUCUUACCAGAAGGUCAUAGCCUCAGGGAAAGUGGUUUGUUUGCCUGACUCACCAGUGCAAAACAUUGAAUGCAAAGCAGAGAGAUUCCCCAAUACCCCAUGGCAGGAAUUGGGCCAGACAAUCACUUGUGACAAGAAUAAAGGACUGAAAUGUGUAAAUGAGGAUCAAGGAGGACUGCCAUGUUACAACUACAAGGUCAGAUUCUGCUGCUCCAGAGCAGGUGGACCUCCUGCACCAAGUCCAUCUUCACGAAGCCCAGAACCAACUGCAUCGAAGGACAAGACACCCGCACCUACAACCUCCAGCAACAAGGGGCCAGAACCAUCACCCCCAGAAGGGCCAGUGACACCGAAACCCCCGGUUGAGGAAAAGCCAACAAAGCCAGCUCCA